GCUGAGCUGCGGUGGACGCCGAGCCUGGGUCCGGGGGAGGGGGCGCGACCGUGGACGCCGGUGGACAGCGGCCAGCCUCCCUGGUGAGGAAUCCCAGCUCUCUGUGAGGUGCACACGCCAGGCCUGUCUUUCCACGAAGUCAGCUUUAUUCGGUCAUAAAGCAAGGUGACAGAUAGACUGUGGUCCAUCCGGCACUAAGAACAAGCCAUCGAGCCACGCAGAGCCACAGAGGAGCCUCGGACGCACAGCACUCGGUGACAGAAGCCAGGCUGAGGAGGCGACACACGGGGUGGUUCCAAGUCCAGGAUGUUCUGGACAAGGCAGGACCACGGAGGCACGGCUGCCGGGGUGGGGGAGGGUGAAUGGGAGGAGCACAGGAAUUUCGGGGCCAUGGGUCUACUCCGGACAACACCGUGGUGGUGGGCAGGUGUCCGUGACAUUCGUCCGAACCCACGGGGUGUGCAGCACCAGGAGUGACCUCGUGUCCGCUGUGGACCCUGGUUCGUCACGUUCAGAGCUGGCUCACCCGUGUGACUAACGUACCAGACCAAUGCACAUUGCUAAUGAUGAAAAGACACCACGGUGAGGGAGACGGAGGGAACUCUAUGCAGGUCCUGCUCAGUUUUUUGUAACCCUCAAACUGAUUUUUUUAAAAAGCCUAUUUUUUUUUUUUAAACAAGGAUACUGAGAAGCAGGGCGUGGGUCCUUGUAAAGCGAGGUCUGGAUGUGACACCGAUGACAAAACGAGCAGAGGAUCUGAACAGCUGUUUCUCCGAAGAAGCCAUCCGGAUGGCCACCAGACACAUGAAAAGAUGCUCAGCAUCGCUCAGCAUCAGGGAAACGCACGUCAGAACCACAGUGAGUCCCCACCUCCCGCAGUUCGGAGCGGCUGAAAUCCACAGCUCAGGAAACACGUGUUGGCCAGGACGCGGAGAAACGGGAACCCUCUUGCACUGCUGGUGGGAGUGCAAACCAGUGCAGCCGCUCUGGAGAACAGUGUGGAGGGUCCUGAGAGCACAAAUAGUACCCUUGGGUCCAGCAAUUGCACCACUAGGUAUUUUCCCAGAGGGAGUGGAAGCUCUGGCGCGAAAGCAUCUCUGCUCUUCUAAGCUCACGGGGGGGGGGGGGGGCUUCUCAUAGCGGCCCAGACACCAGCGGCCCGUGCCCCGCGGCGGAUGAGCGCGUGAAGACGUAUCCGCACCUCACAUCUUGUCUGUCCGCCCAACGGAGUCCCAUCCAGCCUCAGAAAAGGCGAUCGGGCCAUUUGUGACGAGUGGCGGGGCACGGAGGGCCUUGUGCUGAGGGGCCCAGCCGGACCGAAAACACGAGCACCGUAAGAUCCUACUGCCACCUCAAGCUCACAGGAGCGGAGACGGCAAAUGUGGCCUCCAGGGACUCGAGGGGGACAGGGAGAUUCAUCAAAGCACAAACUUCCAGUUACGAGGUGAGAAGGUUCUGAGGAUCUAACGCACAGCCUGGCACACGUGGCGGUUGCUGAGAGAGGGUCCCAUUCAUUGCUGGGCAUCCAUCACUGUUGAUAACUUUCAGAACAUCGUGUCGCCCAAAAAGCAACGCGUCCCAGCGCCUCCCCCGGCCGCCACGAGCCCCCUUCCUGUCCGUGGAUGAGCCUGCUCCGGACGUUUCACACACGUGGACUCACACCCCCGCGCGGCCUCUCGUGCCUGGUUGUCUCCGUGAGCGUCGCGCGUUCAGGGUCCAUCCGCCGGGCGGCGGGGGCGGGCGCCUCGCUCCUGCGCGCGGCCGAGGGAUGUGCGCGUGCGCGGGGGACACGGUCGUCUGUGGACGUGCGCGUGCGCGGUGGGCACAGUCCUCUGUGGGCGUGCGCGUGCGCGUGCGCGGCCGACACGCCGGAGGGGCGUGGGCGUGCACAGGGGGCGCCUGGGUGUGGCCACCUCCUGCGUACCGCAAGCGCGUGUGUGCAGGUUUGUGCGGAGCUCGGUGUUCGGGGCUCUGA